rnacentral:rRNA from 1 species
GACGAACGCUGGCGGCGCGCCUAACACAUGCAAGUCGAACGGAGUCAAGAGGAGCUUGCUUUUCUUGACUUAGUGGCGAACGGGUGAGUAACGCGUGAGUAACCUGCCCUGGAGUGGGGGACAACAGUUGGAAACGACUGCUAAUACCGCAUAAGCCCACGGAUCUGCAUGGAUCUGCGGGAAAAGGAUUUAUUCGCUCUAGGAUGGACUCGCGUCCAAUUAGCUAGUUGGUGAGGUAACGGCCCACCAAGGCGACGAUUGGUAGCCGGACUGAGAGGUUGAACGGCCACAUUGGGACUGAGACACGGCCCAGACUCCUACGGGAGGCAGCAGUGGGGGAUUUUGCACAAUGGGGGAAACCCUGAUGCAGCGACGCCGCGUGGAGGAAGAAGGUUUUCGGAUUGUAAACUCCUGUCGUUAGGGACGAUAAUGACGGUACCUAACAAGAAAGCACCGGCUAACUACGUG